UUCCACUCAUCAGACUGGGGGUGAGAGUGACUGCAGACAUUCUGGGAGGACCGCUGUAUCUCUUCUACAUUCACACUUUUGGAAUACAAAUUCAGAUUUACUGGAAACUAUUGGAAUUUAUAAUGUAUAACAUUUUAUCUGGUUGAGGUCGAUCUUGGUUUGUAUGAAAUCCUUUGGCUUUCUAAUUGAGGGAUAUUAUUACCUAAAACCAGAAUAAUAGAUAAAAACAUAUUGUUCUGUUUAUAAUAAAUGCAUGAUUAUAACAUUGGCUUGAAGGUUUUUUAUUCGGUCAAAUAUUUAGACUUGUGUUAAAACAAUGAACCUUUUGUAAUUUUGCGUUUAAUAAUGUUAUGAAAAUAAAUAAUUACAUUUAUUUCAUUAAAUCUUUUCAAACAAAUAAUGUAUAUUGAUUAUAAUAUUUCCAGUGAAACAAAUAUCGACUUAUUCAUCCAUUCUAGUGAAAAGCCAGUGUUUGUGUGUCAGUGAGAUGAGUCUUUAAUGUGCGGGAGGUUUUUGUACAGCCUCUUAAUGCGUUUGUAUCACUGUGGGGGACUUUUGGUGGAGGCACCAAACUCAUCGUUAACUGUAAGUACAAGGACACUUUUCUUUGCCUGGCAUAUUUAACUUUCUCUAAAUAUAAUUAAGCGUGAUGAUCUUAUCUUUUGGAACUUUCUAUAUUUUUAAUUUCUGGUCGUUUUUUUUUAAUGAUAAGCUGAGGACAAAGUGUAAAUAUAUUGUGGUACAGAGUUCUGUCUUUUAAAUUACACUGCAUAUGUUACAUAUGUUGUACAAUAUAAUGUAUUUCAUGAAAGACCUCAUUAUUGCUGUGACAUUAUUCAUUCAUCAGUCACAUUUAAGUUUGAAGAAAUUCAAACUUUUUUUCGAUUAAUGUUAACCCAAUAAAAUGCUAAAUUUUGAAGUUCAAUCAUUUAAAAUAUAAUCAUGUUACCGUUUUAAUGGAGAGAUUUUAAACACAAUGGUUUCCUUCCUCUUUAAUAUCACCAACUUCUGGUGAACAGGAAGCUGUCCCUUCCCUCUGUGCUCCUAUGAGGCUGAUGUUAACUGAGCCUGUUGUCCACUCCUCUCUCUCUCUUCCAGUGGGAGUGGUGCAGCCCACGCUGAGCGUCCUCCCUCCCUCCAGAGUGGAGCUGGAGCAGGGCAGUGCUACACUAGUGUGUGCGGCCAGUGGGGGCUUCCCCUCAGACUGGAAGCUUGGCUGGAAGGUGGGGGGCAGCAGCAGGUCUGGAGGAGUGACCGAUAGCCUGGGGGUCCAGGGGAAAGAUGGCCACUACAGCUGGAGCAGCACCUUGACCCUCCCUGCAGACCAGUGGAGGAAGGCGGGCUCAGUGAGCUGUGAGGCCAGUAAGAAUGGCCAGACGCAGCCUGUCACUCAAACCCUGAAUCCUGACCAGUGUUCAGAGUAGAGAGGCUCCAGCAUGGAGGUACUGGAGAACACAGAUCUCCUCUUACACGUCUGCUUUAUGUCUCUCUGUCUGAGGUGACACUGCAUCUUUUGAUGAUUUACAUUAAUAUAACACGUCUUUGAUUCAUUAACAUGAUGCUCUCUGGAAUUUACCCGUUGCUUGUGUUGGUCACUUGUUGAACAUUUAAUAAAGAUUUAAAGAAUAAA